UGCAGAACUUGGAUUCUGGCCGAAGUCUAUACAUUGCAGAAGCCUCUGGUCUGAGCUCAUGGGACAAAGAAGCAGAAGCUUUCACUGUUACUGGAGGAGAAAACUAUGAAUUUGGAAGCGAGACAUAAUAAAUCGAGAGCUGGUAAAAACUCUGCUGUCAACCAUCAGCAGCAUUGUUUGAGUCUUGGUAUCGGGUAUUUUGUCCUAGAGAGGGACUAAAUGGAAUCUGAUAAUUGUGGUUGACAUGGAAGGCUAUGAGAAGUUGAAGUUAAUAACCCAAAUCUCUUGCACUGGCAUGCCAUAGGGGAACAUACUAGAGAAGCUGAGAAUUUGUUCCAUGGCCAGCUUUGUCCGUUUAAUACACAACAGCCUGACCAUAAUAAAGAAGGACCCUAAAGUGGUGGUGACCAACCUGUGCUUUGGGAUAAUCCCUGUGAGGCUGUUCCAGCCCCAGGGAGUGUCCUGCAGCCCCCGGAGAGGCAUCGUCUUCUACCAUGGAGGGGGCGGGAUGUUCGGCAGCCUGGGU